rnacentral:RNase_P_RNA from 1 species
AAUAAUCGCGGCCACAGCAAUGUGGGUGAGGAAAGUCCGGGCUUCAUAGGGCAGGAUGCCAGAUAACGUCUGGUGGAGGCGACUCCAAGGCUAGUGCAACAGAAAGAUACCGCCGGUUUGCUGUAUGCAGACAGGUAAGGGUGGAAAGGCAGCUUAAGAGACUACCGUUCGUCUGGUAACAGGCGGAGCCAUGUAAACCCCAUCCGAAGCAAGACCAAAAAGAAAGCAACAGGCUUGCCCGGCCUGCUUUCAGGUGGGUUGCUUGAUGCGGCUGGCGACAGCCGUACUAGAUAGAUGAUUAUUCAACGACAUAACCCGGCUUAUCGUUUUGCUU